rnacentral:rRNA from 1 species
ACUCGAUCGAGCGUGGCGUACGGGUGAGUAACGCGUGAGAAUCUGCCUCAGAGUCCGAGCAACAAGCAAUCGCUUGGAAUCUUGGAUACCCAAAGGUACUUUAGUACUUGGCAAAGGGCUUCCCGCUCUGAGAUGAGCUUGCGUGAGAUUAGGUAGUUGGUAGAGUAAAAGCCUACCAAGCCCAAGAUCUCUAACCGGUUCGAGAGUACGAUCGGUCACACUGGGACUGAGACACGGCCCAGACGCUUUCGAGCGGCAGCAGUGAGGAAUCUUGGACACUGGGCGAAAGCCUGAUCCAGCUCUAUGACGUGGAUGAGGACGACUGACAUUGGUUGUAAAAUCCUGCGCCCCCCUUGAGAUUUUGACAGGAGGGGGGUUACAAGUCCCGGCAAAUCUCGUGCCAGCAGCCGCGGUAAUACGAGAGGGGCAAGCGUUAUUCGGAAUGAUUGGGCGUAAAGCGCCUGUAGGCGGUGAUCAACUUGUCGGGGAUGCAGCUCACAGGAAUGCUGUGAACCACCCCGGGAGGUUGGUCGCUUGAGGCGGUCAGAGGAGCGUGGAAUUCCUGGAGGAGCGGUAAAAUGUGUUGAGCUCAGGAGGAACACCGAUGGCGAAAGCAGCGCUCUGGGGCCGACCUGACGUUGAGAGGCGAAAGCGUGGGGAUCGAAAGGGAUUAGAUACCCCUGUAGUCCACGCCGUCAACGAUGACCAUUCCCGGGGGGGAUCCAAUAAGGGUCUCCCUCGGUUAGCGAACGCGGUAAAUGGUCCGCCUGAGGAGUACGGUCGCAAGAUUAAAACUCAAAGGAAUAGACAGGGGCUCACACAAGUGGUGGAACAUGUGGUUUAAUUCGACACAACGCGCAGAACCUUACCAGGUCUUGACUCGUCACAUUCGACCUUGUAUCUUUUACAAGGUGGUGUGAUACAGGUGUUGCAUGGCUGUCGUCAGCUCGUGUGUGAACUGUUGGAUUCAUUUACUGAACGAGCGAAACCCCUGGAUGGUGUUGUUC